rnacentral:rRNA from 1 species
GGCGUAAACAGAGGGAAGCGAGCCUGCGAGGGGGAGGCGAAUCCCAAAAAUAACGUCCCAGUUCGGAUUGUAGUCUGCAACCCGACUACAUGAAGCUGGAAUCGCUAGUAAUCGCGGAUCAGCAUGCCGCGGUGAAUACGUUCCCGGGCCUUGUACACACCGCCCGUCACACCAUGGGAGUCGGUAACACCCGAAGCCGAUAGUCUAACGAAAGAGGACGUCGUCGAAGGUGGGAUUGAUGACUGGGGUGAAGUCGUAACAAGGUAAC